GAUGAACGCUGGCGGCGUGCUUAACACAUGCAAGUCGAACGAAGCAUUUAAGACAGAUUACUUCGGUUUGAAGUCUUUUAUGACUGAGUGGCGGACGGGUGAGUAACACGUGAGCAACCUGCCUAUCAGAGGGGGAUAACGAUUGGAAACGAUCGCUAAUACCGCAUGACAUAGCGGAAUCGCAUGGUUCUGUUAUCAAAGAUUUUAUCGCUGAUAGAUGGGCUCGCGUCCGAUUAGAUAGUUGGUGGGGUAACGGCCCACCAAGGCGACGAUCAGUAGCCGGUCUGAGAGGAUGAACGGCCACAUUGGGACUGAGAUACGGCCCAGACUCCUACGGGAGGCAGCAGUGGGGAAUAUUGGGCAAUGGGGGAAACCCUGACCCAGCAACGCCGCGUGAAGGAAGAAGGCCUUCGGGUUGUAAACUUCUUUUACCAGGGACGAAAAAAGUGACGGUACCUGGAGAAAAAGCAACGGCUAACUACGUG
rnacentral:rRNA from 1 species